rnacentral:rRNA from 1 species
UACGAAGGGGGCUAGCGUUGCUCGGAAUCACUGGGCGUAAAGGGUGCGUAGGCGGGUCUUUAAGUCAGGGGUGAAAUCCUGGAGCUCAACUCCAGAACUGCCUUUGAUACUGAAGAUCUUGAGUCCGGGAGAGGUGAGUGGAACUGCGAGUGUAGAGGUGAAAUUCGUAGAUAUCGCAAGAACACCAGUGGCGAAGGCGGCUCACUGGCCCGGUACUGACGCUGAGGCACGAAAGCGUGGGGAGCAAACAGG